GGUGCGGCCUAGGUGCUCA
rnacentral:siRNA from 1 species